rnacentral:rRNA from 1 species
GAUGAACGCUGGCGGCGUGCCUAAUACAUGCCAGUCGAGCGAACAGACGAGGAGCUUGCUCCUUUGACGUUAGCGGCGGACGGGUGAGUAACACGUGGGUAACCUACCUAUAAGACUGGGAUAACUUCGGGAAACCGGAGCUAAUACCGGAUAAUAUUUCGAACCGCAUGGUUCGAUAGUGAAAGAUGGCUUUGCUAUCACUUAUAGAUGGACCUGCGCCGUAUUAGCUAGUUGGUAAGGUAACGGCCUACCAAGGCAACGAUACGUAGCCGACCUGAGAGGGUGAUCGGCCACACUGGAACUGAGACACGGUCCAGACUCCUACGGGAGGCAGCAGUAGGGAAUCUUCCGCAAUGGGCGAAAGCCUGACGGAGCAACGCCGCGUGAGUGAUGAAGGUCUUCGGAUCGUAAAACUCUGUUAUUAGGGAAGAACAAACGUGUAAGUAACUGUGCACGUCUUGACGGUACCUAAUCAGAAAGCCACGGCUAACUACGUG